rnacentral:rRNA from 1 species
CUGAACUUAAGCAUAUCAAUAAGCGGAGGAAAAGAAACUAACAAGGAUUCCCCUAGUAACGGCGAGUGAACCGGGAAGAGCUCAAAUUUGUAAUCUGGCGUGCUCAGUGCGUCCGAGUUGUAAUCUACAGAGGCGUUUUCCGCGUCGGACCGUGUCCAAGUCCCUUGGAAUAGGGUAUCAAAGAGGGUGACAAUCCCGUGCUUGACACGACGACCGAUGCUAUGUGAUACGCUUUCUACGAGUCGAGUUGUUUGGGAAUGCAGCUCAAAAUGGGUGGUAAAUUCCAUCUAAAGCUAAAUAUUGGCGAGAGACCGAUAGCGAACAAGUACCGUGAGGGAAAGAUGAAAAGCACUUUGGAAAGAGAGUUAAACAGUACGUGAAAUUGUUAAAAGGGAAACGAUUGAAGUCAGUCGUGUCGGUCGGGUUCAGCCAGGUCUCCUGGUGUAUUCCCGGCCGGCGGGUCAACAUCGGUUUGGAUCGGCGGAUAAUGGACAGAGGAAAGUAGCACCCUCGGGUGUGUUAUAGCCUUUGGCCGCAUACGCUGGCUCAGACCGAGGACUGCAGCUCGCCGCAAGGCAGGGGUCGCCCACUCGAGCUA